CACCGGCGGCUCAAGUGGUGGCCGCUUUUAUUGGGUCUAAAGGGUCUGUAGCCGGCCAGGUAAGUCCCUUGGGAAAUCUGGCAGCUCAACUGUCAGGCUGCUAGGGGAUACUGUUUGGCUUGGGACCGGGAGAGGUGAGAGGUACCUUGGGGGUAGGGGUGAAAUCUUGUAAUCCUUGAAGGACCACCAGUGGCGAAGGCGUCUCACCAGAACGGACCUGACGGCAAGGGACGAAAGCUAGGGGCACGAACCGG
rnacentral:rRNA from 1 species